rnacentral:rRNA from 1 species
GACGAACGCUGGCGGCGUGCUUAACACAUGCAAGUCGAGCGGUAAGGCCCUUCGGGUACACGAGCGGCGAACGGGUGAGUAACACGUGGGUGACCUGCCUCUAGCUCUGGGAUAAGCCUGGGAAACUGGGUCUAAUACCGGAUAUGACUCCACGGCGCAUGUUGUGGGGUGGAAGGCCUUGUGUGGCUAGAGAUGGGCCCGCGGCCCAUCAGCUUGUUGGUGGGGGA